UGCAGCAGCCAUAUCACCCUGUAUCUCACAACUGGCAGCCCACUGAAGCUCAGCAGGUGUGAGCCUGUUCAGUACCUGGAUGGGAGACCUCCUGGGAAAAACUAAGAUUGCUGCUGGAA
rfam:Lepisosteus oculatus linkage group LG8, whole genome shotgun sequence.